AUUGAACGCUGGCGGCAGGCUUAACACAUGCAAGUCGAACGGAGAUGAGGUGCUUGCACCUUAUCUUAGCGGCAGACGGGUGAGUAAUGCUUAGGAAUCUGCCUAUUAGUGGGGGACAACAUUCCGAAAGGAAUGCUAAUACCGCAUACGUCCUACGGGAGAAAGCAGGGGAUCUUCGGACCUUGCGCUAAUAGAUGAGCCUAAGUCGGAUUAGCUAGUUGGUGGGGUAAAGGCCUACCAAGGCGACGAUCUGUAGCGGGUCUGAGAGGAUGAUCCGCCACACUGGGACUGAGACACGGCCCAGACUCCUACGGGAGGCAGCAGUGGGGAAUAUUGGACAAUGGGGGGAACCCUGAUCCAGCCAUGCCGCGUGUGUGAAGAAGGCCUUAUGGUUGUAAAGCACUUUAAGCGAGGAGGAGGCUACUGAGACUAAUACUCUUGGAUAGUGGACGUUACUCGCAGAAUAAGCACCGGCUAACUCUGUGCCAGCCGCCGCGGUAG
rnacentral:rRNA from 1 species